AUAAGUUAAGAUAUAUUCAGAUAAAAUUAUAAAAUACUCAACUUAAACUAUUUUUUUUUUAUGGCUGGUAUAGGUAGAAAUUUAUUGGUAUAUAUGAAUGUAUACAUCAUGGCAUCAUGCACAUACUGAUUUCAUAGGUAAGAGAGCCCAUAAGAAAUUUUCAAAGAGUGAGACGUAUUGUCAUUAUUGUCGCCAUUGCCAAUUAUUUUGCUCUCAUCGAGGAUAACAAUAUCAAUAUUAUGCAAUGUGUAUUUUUAACAAUAAAAUUUUAUUAUUUGAUCCAUCUACUUAUUUAUAAGCAACUAAUUACAUAUAAUUUUAAAUUAAAAAUAUGUUUUGCAUAAAUUAUAUUUUGGCAUCGAAGAAAAUAGAAAUAAACAAUUUAAAGCUCAAAAUUGUAAAUUGUACUGCGCCCAUGAAUUAGUAAAUCAGGCGCUGCAGUAGCUUGUGUAGAAACUAUUAAUCAUCAAGUAUUGUAUGACAAUUUAUGUAUAACAAUAAUAUUAGAGAAUAAAUCACUAUUUAUUUUUCAAUAACAACAUAGGCUUCAUAAUAAUAUUGACAUUUUAAUUUUGUUCUUUAUUUUAUUUAUUUAUUUAUUUAUUUAUAGUUACAAGACAAAUACAUGAUAUAACAAACACAGAUAUUAACUAGGCAUUACUCUACACUGAGGUGAAACCUCGUGUCGUAGAGUAAGAGUACAUUUUUUUUUUUUUUUUUUAGUAGCCGUGAUAAUAAUGAAAGAUGGAAUUUCAUUUAAAGACCGUAAUCCAACUUGUAAGAAUGACAUCGAAGCUUUUUUAGUAACAACGAAAGGUAUUUCAAGAUUUGUUUUUCUGAAUUUGUAUGUUAGAUUUUUAAUAUUAAAUAAAUUAUUUUUGAAGAUGAAGCAAAUUGCUUGCUUUUUGUAUAAAUUGUCAAUAUCAAGCAGGGCCCCCACAUACAAUUUCGGGCCCCUGUACUAAAUGUUUGACCGGGCCCUUUAUAAGACUUCCAAAAAUACAAUUAACCAUCUAUCACAAUUUUUGGAAAAAUAUUAAUUUUUUUAUUAUACCACGGGCCCUUAAAAUAGCCGGGCCCCUGUACUCAAGGUCCAUCAGCCCCCCCCCAUGUGGGGGCCCUGAUAUCAAAACAUUUUAUAUAAUUCAGAUGAAGGAAAGGUUUUCUGUUUAUUUAGAAUGAUUUUAAUUAGGUUCUUUUGUCUUAUUGAUAAGUUGCAUUUUAUUGGGUAUUAUUAAUAACGUAUUUUUUCAGUACAAAAAAAUUUUGCUUUAUAAAAUGUCAAUAAGUUUCCAUCUUUUUAAUGAUACUGAAUUUUAAUUCUACAAUAGUUAAGUAAAGAAAAAUACAAAUUGUAUUUCCAAACAGCGACAAUUAUAGACGUGUUUAAAGUAAAAAUUGUAUGUCCUGCAUUUUAUUAAACAAUAUUGCUUAUUUGGUCACACUGCUUGAAAGCGGACCACUACUCUCUCCUUAACCAUGUAGGAUGGAGCUAACCCCCCGUGACAGCGACUGUCAGCCCUCUUUGACCCGCCUAUCAUACCUAUGACGGGGCCUAACACCGCGUGACAGCAGCCGCCGACAGCGCUCUGCAGUGGUCGCCAGCAAUUAGCUGUUACCGGUUUUUUCUACGGUAUGGCUUAUCUGUAUAUUAUAAAAUCAAUGCUAGUACCUAUUAAUACUACUAAAUCCAUAAAAAAAGUAAAACAUUGUAUCAGUUUAUAUUAAUUAUAUUAUUCACAUAUAUUAUUAAACUUUUAAUCGAAAUAGCAACAUACAGACAUAAUAUUUACUGUUUUUUCUUAGCUAUAGACUUCUGCGGAACUUGUUUUUAGCUUGAAAAUUAUUCAUUACAAUUUAUAUCGUGCAGUGAUUGCAAUGUCGUCUCUGUCAUUAAACAAUAAGUACGCAGUUUGAGGAUAUAACUUCAUCCAAUAAAUACAUUUUUUAAAUAAUAUAAAUACUGAACAUUUCUAUAAAAUAAAAAAUGACUAUAAGUCUAUAAACAUAAAAGUUAAUACAAUGCAAAUAAAUUAUGUAUUUUUUAAUUCUUUGAUACCUACAUAAAACGAAUUUUGUGAUUAGAAAACAUUGUUUUAGAACUUCCAGAAAAAAUUUAAUUCGAAUCUUAUCUACCUACUGUUUAGUGUUUACUGAGUUGUACGUCAGAACAAAGAAUAUAUAUCAAAGACAAAAAUACAAAAACAAAUCCACUUGGAAAAAUUCUUAUUAAUAAAACCAAAUUUAUAUAUUUUUCUUUUGGACAUAAGUUUUAAUUAUAAACGUAAAUCAAUAGUUAUUGUGAUUAAAAAUAUGUACCUAGGUACCUAUAGAGCAGGUAUCUAAAAAUGUAUUUAAAUUUUAAGUAUAUAAUAGGUUUUGUUUUCUUAGUUUAUGUUUAUCGUACAUUUACAUUGUAAAAUAACUGUAUUUUUUUUUAUUUAUAUGUUGACACUUGACAUAUUAUAU